AUGUUCUGUGCGCCUGCGUGUCAUGGUCCAAAGUACCCGGGUAAAACUGCUGGGGUGAGUUUCCCAGAUACAGCUAGAGUGAACAGGACUAAAAUCAAUUAUAGAAACCCCCAGGCCAAGAUGGAAUUUCUGUUGGAAUCUCCCAGAACAAGAAGAGGGCUGUUGUUAACACUGAAAAAGGAGGAAACAGUCAGCAGUUCCACCAUGAGUAGCAGCCAACAUGAACUUGUCAAGAAUAAAUCACAUCUUUAUUGUCAGGUAGGCACCUAAAAA
rnacentral:lncRNA from 1 species